GACGAACGCUGGCGGCGUGCUUAACACAUGCAAGUCGAACGGAAAGGCCCUGCUUUUGUGGGGUGCUCGAGUGGCGAACGGGUGAGUAACACGUGAGUAACCUGCCCUUGACUUUGGGAUAACUUCAGGAAACUGGGGCUAAUACCGUAUAGGAGCUCCUGCUGCAUUGUGGGGGUUGGAAAGUUUCGGCGGUUGGGGAUGGACUCGCGGCUUAUCAGCUUGUUGGUGGGGGAGUGGCUUACCAAGGCUUUGACGGGUAGCCGGCCUGAGAGGGUGACCGGCCACAUUGGGACUGAGAUACGGCCCAGACUCCUACGGGAGGCAGCAGUGGGGAAUAUUGCACAAUGGGCGGAAGCCUGAUGCAGCAACGCCGCGUGCGGGAUGACGGCCUUCGGGUUGUAAACCGCUUUCGCCUGUGACGACGCGUGAGUGACGGUAAUGGGUAAAGAAGCACCGGCCAACUACGUG
rnacentral:rRNA from 1 species